rnacentral:tRNA from 1 species
UCUCUGGAGGACUAGUGGUCAGGCUUCGGCGCUCUCACCGCCACGGCCCGGGUUCGCUUCCUGGCCAGGGAA